CCUACGGGUGGCAGCAGUGGGGAAUAUUGCGCAAUGGGCGAAAGCCUGACGCAGCGACGCCGCGUGAGGGAUGAAGGUCUUCGGAGCGUAAACCUCUGUCAGCAGGGAAGAACGGUCACUGUGCUAAUGAGCAGUGAAUUGACGGUACCUACAAAGGAAGCACCGGCGAACUCCGUGCCAGCAGCAGCGGUAAUGCGGAGGGUGCGAGCGUUAAUCGGAAUUACUGGGCGUAAAGCGCUCGUAGGCGGUAUGUCAAGUCAAGGGUGAAAUCCCCGGGCUCAACGUGGGAACUGCCUUUGAAACUGGCAAACUUGAGUGUGUGAGAGGAUAGUGGAAUUCCAGGUGUAGGGGUGAAAUGCGUAGAUAUCAGGAGGAACAUCAGUGGCGAAGGCGACUAUCUGGCACAUAACUGACGCUGAGGAGCGAAAGCGUGGGUAGCAAACAGGAUUAGAUACCCUAGUAGUC
rnacentral:rRNA from 1 species